rnacentral:rRNA from 1 species
AUUGAACGCUGGCGGCAUGCCUUACACAUGCAAGUCGAACCGCAGCACGGGUGCUUGCACCUGGUGGCGAGUGGCGAACGGGUGAGUAAUACAUCGGAACAUGUCCUGUAGUGGGGGAUAGCCCGGCGAAAGCCGGAUUAAUACCGCAUACGAUCUACGGAUGAAAGCGGGGGACCUUCGGGCCUCGCGCUAUCGGGUUGGCCGAUGGCUGAUUAGCUAGUUGGUGGGGUAAAGGCCUACCAAGGCGACGAUCAGUAGCUGGUCUGAGAGGACGACCAGCCACACUGGGACUGAGACACGGCCCAGACUCCUACGGGAGGCAGCAGUGGGGAAUGUUGGACAAUGGGCGAAAGCCUGAUCCAGCAAUGCCGCGUGUGUGAAGAAGGCCUUCGGGUUGUAAAGCACUUUUGUCCGGAAAGAAAUCCUUGGCCCUAAUACGGUCGGGGGAUGACGGUACCGGAAGAAUAAGCACCGGCUAACUACGUG